UCUGGGUGUGGUAGGGCACGCCUGUAAUCCCAGUGGCUUGGGAGGCUGAGGCAGGAGGAUUGCAAGUUCAAAGGCAGCCUCAGCAACUUAAUGAGACCCUAACCAACUUAGUAAGAACCUGUCUGUA
rnacentral:sRNA from 1 species